rnacentral:rRNA from 1 species
GAUGGACGCUAGCGAUAGGCUUAACACAUGCAAGUCGAGGGGUAACGUGUUGGAAGCUUGCUUCCGAUGACGACGACCGGCGGAUGGGUGCGUAACGCGUAUGCAACUUGCCUCACAGUGGAGAAUAACCCGGAGAAAUCCGGACUAAUACUCCAUACACUCUUAAGUACGCCUGUACAUGAGAGGAAAGAUUUAUCGCUGUGAGAUAGGCAUGCGUCCUAUUAGGUAGUUGGUGAGGUAACGGCUCACCAAGCCGACGAUAGGUAGGGGUGCUGAGAGGCAGAUCCCCCACAUUGGGACUGAGACACGGCCCAAACUCCGACGGGAGGCAGCAGUGAGGAAUAUUGGUCAAUGGAGGAAACUCUGAACCAGCCAAGUCGCGUGAAGGAAGAAUGUCCUAAGGAUUGUAAACUUCUUUAGCGAGCGAGUAAGGACUUCCACGUGAUGGGAGUUUGAAAGUAGCUCGAGAAUAAGUAUCGGCUAACUCCGUG